GGCGCAGGAACCACCGAACGCGAUCGAUCAGAUCGCGCAAAACGAACCGAUCGUAUCGAAAUGCAACCAGCAACUGAUGAAACUAUCGCACUGAUCGUACGCACCACCCCUAACCUAAACCCGUGUUGUUGUUUUUGUUGCUGCUGCUGCUGCCGCUGUUUUUGAUUCAUGAAGACGUUCGUGCAGAAGAAGAAGGACAGCAUAAAAGCAAAAGCCCACACCCCGCACACGAGGCAGUGGUUGCUGACACGGUAGGACAGGUGUGGUGUAGCCUGCGUGGUACAGAAACGAGAUCGUGGCGAAGAUGCGCGCGAGAUGCUCCACUUUGUCCAAGCGUUCCGGUUGGCAAGGUAACAAACACACCGCAAGCUGAAUUGACGAAAAACGAGAAGGAAAAGCAACGCCGAAACACACAACACACCCUGGAUCUCGCGAUCGCGAUGGUGAAAAGGAACGAACAAAGCGGCGAAAUUGCCAAAAUAAUGGAUCAGAGUAGACAUUGCUUCCAAACAACAGAACUACAAUGGAAGGAUGGCAGGAUGCAUUUGUAAUACAGACAGGAGCAUAAUAUGUUAAAUUUAAAAAAAUAGCCAUGAAAACUAUAAUUUCACAACGUUGUACAAGGUUUAAUAGAAAUGUAGGAAGUAUUGAAGGAGACAUUUCAAUUCUCUAUAAAGUAGUCACCAGUUUCGAUGCGGUCCAGGCCGUGCUACCGCUAAUGGGCAAAUUGAUGGUGAGUUUAUUAUUUUACCCAGAUUAGGAACGAUUUUUCUAGUAUGAAUCGUUUUUUACGGGCAUGAUCGUUGACGAAAAACCUGAUUAUGCUUCAUUGCAACUAAAAAGCAACAUACGCAUCGCUACAACCUUAUCGCAAAUGGAGAUUGUAGCAUGAUCGAUUAGCAAAAGCAGCAACCAUUUUAGACGACCUCACUGUCCCAAGAUGCUGCAGACUUCUACAGACGCACAUGCAAAGAGUCGGAAACGAAAAAGCCGGAUCACUUUCAGCAAAGACGAAACUCCCGGAUGUAAAAGUGAUUACAUUCACAAGCGCGCGCGAAAAAAAGCGCGGUUUUCUUUCUUUCCCGAGGUAUUGCAGACCGCAACGCGGUAUCGGUUUUAAAUUGGGUGUCAGUUUAUUUACUCCAUGCGGUUCUGUCGCUUCGCCUACCACUUCCCCUACCGCCUCUCCUGCCCGGCCCUGCGACGAUAAUUAUUUCGUUGCCCGAUGCUCGCAGGCGCCAUACUAGAGGGCAAACGGAGGAGCUUUACCCUAUUUCCUCCUAUUUCUAUCCCUCUUUCACGGCGGAUCGCGUUCACUAUGUAUGCGGCGGCGCGCUUGUGGUUUGUAAAUUGUAGAUUUUAUUAAUAUUAAAAAAAAUAAUAAAGAAUUACACUAUAGCCACGGAGCAGAACUUAAAAACUCCUCAUGUUUGCUUUUCUGUGUGCUCGUUUAGCGUAUGUGUUUGUGUGUUUUUUUUACGGAUUCCGUUGAUUUGUAGAUGCUGCUGCUACUGCCGGCUCCUCUGUGUUACCAUAUAUAUAAAUUGAGUCGAGUCCUCUUCUCUUGCUGCGCGAUCCUACCUCAUUAAAGUGUUUUUUUCCUUAAUAGCUAUUACAUUAUCCAUUCGCCAUCUAGUUUUUCUUCAACUUUCGCGACACAUGCAGAAGUAUUAACAUCUUUACCAAUACUACCACCACCACCACCACUACCACACACCAACAACGUCCAGGGGGUUAGAAUCUUACAGCAACUAUUUGGCGCGUGG